AGGCGAGAUCAUAUCAGCAUUAAUGCACCGGAUCUCAUAAGAAAUCUGCAGUUAAGCGUGUAUGAGCGAGAGUAGUACUAAAUGGAUGACCUCCAAGAAAGUCCUUAUGUUUCACCUC
rnacentral:rRNA from 2 species